rnacentral:rRNA from 1 species
AUUGAACGCUGGCGGCAGGCCUAACACAUGCAAGUCGAACGGUAACAGGAAGCAGCUUGCUGCUUUGCUGACGAGUGACGGACGGGUGAGUAAUGUCUGGGAAACUGCCUGAUGGAGGGGGAUAACUACUGGAAACGGUAGCUAAUACCGCAUAACGUCGCAAGACCAAAGAGGGGGACCUUCGGGCCUCUUGCCAUCGGAUGUGCCCAGAUGGGAUUAGCUUGUUGGUGGGGUAACGGCUCACCAAGGCGACGAUCCCUAGCUGGUCUGAGAGGAUGACCAGCCACACUGGAACUGAGACACGGUCCAGACUCCUACGGGAGGCAGCAGUGGGGAAUAUUGCACAACGGGCGCAAGCCUGAUGCAGCCAUGCCGCGUGUAUGAAGAAGGCCUUCGGGUUGUAAAGUACUUUCAGCGGGGAGGAAGGGAGUAAAGUUAAUACCUUUACUCAUUGACGUUACCCGCAGAAGAAGCACCGGCUAACUCCGUG